GAUGAACGCUGGCGGCGUGCUUAACACAUGCAAGUCGAACGAAGUGUUUAUUCAAAGUUCUUCGGGAUAGAGAAUAAAUUACUUAGUGGCGGACGGGUGAGUAACGCGUGGGUAACCUGCCUCACACAGGGGGAUAACAGUUGGAAACGACUGCUAAUACCGCAUAAGACCACAGCACCGCAUGGUGCAGGGGUAAAAGAUUUAUCGGUGUGAGAUGGACCUGCGUCUGAUUAGAUAGUUGGUGGGGUAGAAGCCUACCAAGUCAACGAUCAGUAGCCGACCUGAGAGGGUGAUCGGCCACAUUGGGACUGAGACACGGCCCAAACUCCUACGGGAGGCAGCAGUGGGGAAUAUUGGACAAUGGGGGGAAACCCUGAUCCAGCAACGCCGCGUGAGUGAAGAAGUAUUUCGGUAUGUAAAGCUCUAUCAGCAGGGAAGAAAAUGACGGUACCUGACUAAGAAGCCCCGGCUAACUACGUG
rnacentral:rRNA from 1 species